GGAUUAGAUACCCUGGUAGUCCACGCCGUAAACGAUGAUCACUAGAUGUUGGUUCGGCUUAGCUGAAUCAGUGUCGAAGCUAACGCGUUAAGUGAUCCGCCUGGGGAGUACGGUCGCAAGAUUAAAACUCAAAGAAAUUGACGGGGGUCCGCACAAGCGGUGGAACAUGUGGUUUAAUUCGACACUACGCGAGAAACCUUACCUAGGCUUGACAUGUAACUGCUACCGAUAGAAAUAUUGGGUUCCGUGGAAACACGGACGGUUACACAGGUGCUGCAUGGCUGUCGUCAGCUCGUGCCG
rnacentral:rRNA from 1 species